GGAAUGAUGGCGCAGCGGUAGCGCGUGGGAUUGCAAAUCCCGAGGUCGAGAGUUCGAUCCUCUCUCAUUCCU